rnacentral:rRNA from 1 species
GACGAACGCUGGCGGCGUGCUUAACACAAGCAAGUCGAGCGGGAAACUUCGGUUUCCAGCGGCGGACGGGUGAGUAACACGUGGGCAACCUGCCUCACAAUGAGGGAUAGCCCUCCGAAAGGAGGAUUAAUACCUCAUAACACAAGAGAAACGCAUGUUUCUCUUGCCAAAGAAUUUCGUUGUGAGAUGGGCCCGCGGCGCAUUAGCUUGUUGGUGAGGUAACGGCUCACCAAGGCUUCGAUGCGUAGCCGACCUGAGAGGGUGAUCGGCCACAUUGGAACUGAGACACGGUCCAGACCCCUACGGGAGGCAGCAGUGGGGAAUAUUGCACAAUGGAGGAAACUCUGAUGCAGCAACGCCGCGUGAGUGAUGAAGGUCUUCGGAUUGUAAAGCUCUGUCUUCUGGGACGAUAAUGACGGUACCAGAGGAGGAAGCCACGGCUAACUACGUGCCAGCCGCCGCGGUAA